rnacentral:tRNA from 1 species
GGGCCCGUAGCUCAGCUAGGUUAGAGCGCCAGGCUCAUAACCUGUUGGUCGGGUGUUCAAAUCGCCCCGGGCCCA